GAAAGAGCAGUACAGUGAGUGGUAAACUCAUCAGUUGUUAAUAGUUUGCCGCAUGUAUGUGUUCUACCCGUCUGUCUAUCUCCACACAUUUUAAAGUUGUCACAGUCGUGAUUGUUUACCCCUGGAUCCUUUGUUGUGUAUCUCCCAACAAGAACACGUCCCACAUGACCACAGCCCUCCGGUCACGCUCGUGGGCAUCCACACCUCUCGAGGCAUGUUCCUGCCUGGGUCUGCUUUUCUUUCUCUCCCGACACUGAUGUUCUGAAGGCCAGUUGCUCUGCAGAGGCCACCACAGCCUGGGUGUUCUGUUUCUCGCUGCUGACUUAGGCUGAACAUUUCUGGUCUAGUAGCUGUAACUGUAAGCACCACACUACCAUGCUCAGCUAAUUUUUAAAAUUUUUAGUUGAGAUGGCAUCUCAUUAUGUUGCCCAGGCUGGUCUAGAAAUCCUGGCCUUAAGCAAUUCUCCCACUUCAGCCUCCCAACUAGCUGGGGUUACAGGCGUGAGCCACCAUGCCCAGCUAAAUUUUCAGCUUUUUAUUUAAAAAAAUUAAUGUUGUCCAGCCUGGUUUUUUGUUUGUUUAAGCAUCUUUUCCAGCCUUUUUUGGUAUUUCUGAAACUCAGCCUGCUGCAGCAUUCUGACAGUCUUUGAAGUAAUAGUGCACACUGGUUUUAAUUGUGAAC
rnacentral:lncRNA from 1 species